AUUUAAUUUAACUCCACCUCGGUCUCAUCUGUAAAUACGUGUCCCCCGUGGGAUGUUGCCAACCUCACCCACGUUUCGCUCCUUGAGUUGCUCUGGGACCUGCCACCUGUCCUGACCCCUUUAUGACAUUGCCAGCCUUGGCCCAGCCUCUAGCACCUCACCCUUGCCAUGGCCAGCCCCAUCCAUCCUGAGAAGGGAGCCUUGGUACCAGCAGCAGUUGGGGUGGGUGAUGCAUCUGAAGCUGCACUGACACUGUGGCUGUGCCAAGCUGGGCCACAGUGUCCCCCUCCAGACGUCUCGGGAGUCAGACUCUACAUUCCCUCGGGACCCUGCUCUCCCUGAGCACCCAGAGAGCCAUAGCCAGGCUUGUGCCAGGGCCUGGCUGGGGCCUGACCUCAGCCUGGGCGCUCCGGAACUCUCCUCUCCCGGCUCUACUGCAAAACGUCUUCAGUGGUGUCUGCACUCGCCCUGAACCUCCUCGACCUCAGCUGCCCCAUCCUGCGCCCGCCCUGAGGGGCCGAGGCGGCAGUGCCUUACUGCUUCAUGUCUUCUGCCUCCUCUGAGGAAUCUGGCCCCAUCUCAUGGUCCUGGACCCCCAAGUCUCUCCUCUUUUGUUGCAUGAGCUUUUGUUUGUGUAAUGUUUUUUCCUAAUUAAACGCUGGGAAAGUGGA